rnacentral:rRNA from 1 species
CCUACGGGAGGCAGCAGUGGGGAAUAUUGGACAAUGGGCGAAAGCCUGAUCCAGCAAUGCCGCGUGAGUGAUGAAGGCCUUCGGGUCGUAAAGCUCUUUUACCAGGGAUGAUAAUGACAGUACCUGGAGAAUAAGCUCCGGCUAACUCCGCGCCAGCAGCCGCGGUAAUACGGAGGGAGCUAGCGUUGUUCGGAAUUACUGGGCGUAAAGAGUACGUAGGCGGUUAUUCAAGUCAGAGGUGAAAGCCCGGGGCUCAACCCCGGAACUGCCUUUGAAACUAGAUAACUAGAGUCUUGGAGAGGUUAGUGGAAUUCCGAGUGUAGAGGUGAAAUUCGUAGAUAUUCGGAAGAACACCAGUGGCGAAGGCGACUAACUGGACAAGUACUGACGCUGAGGUACGAAAGCGUGGGGAGCAAACAGGAUUAGAUACCCUGGUAGUCCACGCCGUAAACGAUGAUAACUAGUUGUUCGGUCACUUGGUGACUGAGUGACGCAGCUAACGCAUUAAGUUAUCCGCCUGGGGAGUACGGUCGCAAGAUUAAAACUCAAAGGAAUUGACGG